rnacentral:piRNA from 1 species
UAAUCUGUUAACAUCCGAAUA